rnacentral:rRNA from 1 species
AUUGAACGCUGGCGGCAGGCCUAACACAUGCAAGUCGAACGGUAACAGGAAGAAGCUUGCUUCUUUGCUGACGAGUGGCGGACGGGUGAGUAAUGUCUGGGAAACUGCCUGAUGGAGGGGGAUAACUACUGGAAACGGUAGCUAAUACCGCAUAACGUCGCAAGACCAAAGAGGGGGAGCUUCGGGCCUCUUGCCAUCGGAUGUGCCCAGAUGGGAUUAGCUAGUAGGUGGGGUAACGGCUCACCUAGGCGACGAUCCCUAGCUGGUCUGAGAGGAUGACCAGCCACACUGGAACUGAGACACGGUCCAGACUCCUACGGGAGGCAGCAGUGGGGAAUAUUGCACAAUGGGCGCAAGCCUGAUGCAGCCAUGCCGCGUGGAUGAAGAAGGCCUUCGGGUUGUAAAGUACUUUCAGCGGGGAGGAAGGGAGUAAAGUUAAUACCUUUGCUCAUUGACGUUACCCGCAGAAGAAGCACCGGCUAACUCCGUG